rnacentral:rRNA from 1 species
GAUGAACGCUGGCGGCGUGCCUAAUACAUGCAAGUCGAGCGAACAGACGAGGAGCUUGCUCCUCUGACGUUAGCGGCGGACGGGUGAGUAACACGUGGAUAACCUACCUAUAAGACUGGGAUAACUUCGGGAAACCGGAGCUAAUACCGGAUAAUAUAUUGAACCGCAUGGUUCAAUAGUGAAAGACGGUUUUGCUGUCACUUAUAGAUGGAUCCGCGCCGCAUUAGCUAGUUGGUAAGGUAACGGCUUACCAAGGCAACGAUGCGUAGCCGACCUGAGAGGGUGAUCGGCCACACCGGAACUGAGACACGGUACAGACUCCUACGGGAGGCAGCAGUAGGGAAUCUUGCGCAAUGGGCGAAAGCCUGACGGAGCAACGCCGCGUGAGUGAUGAAGGUCUUCGGAUCGUAAAACUCUGUUAUUAGGGAAGAACAAAUGUGUAAGUAACUAUGCACGUCUUGACGGUACCUAAUCAGAGAGCCACGGCUAACUACGUG